rnacentral:rRNA from 1 species
UACGUAGGCAGCAAGCGUUGUUCGGAGUUACUGGGCGUAAAGGGUGUGUAGGCGGUCUACUAAGUCUGGUGUGAAAUCUCCCGGCUCAACUGGGAGGGUGCGCCGGAAACUGGAAGGCUAGAGUGCGGGAUGGGAGAGUGGAAUUCCUGGUGUAGCGGUGAAAUGCGUAGAUAUCAGGAGGAACACCUGUGGUGCAGACGGCUCUCUGGACCGCAACUGACGCUGAAACACGAAAGCGUGGGUAGCAAACAGG